UCCCUGGAGGACUAGUGGUUAGACCACAGCACUCACACCGCUGAGGCCUGGGUUCAAUUCCUGGCCAGGGAA